UACGAAGGGGGGCUAGCGUUGCUCGGAAUCACUGGGCGUAAAGGGUGCGUAGGCGGGUCUUUAAGUCAGGGGUGAAAUCCUGGAGCUCAACUCCAGAACUGCCUUUGAUACUGAAGAUCUUGAGUUCGGGAGAGGUGAGUGGAACUGCGAGUGUAGAGGUGAAAUUCGUAGAUAUUGGGAAGAACACCGGUGGCGAAGGCGGCCAUCUGGACCGCAACUGACGCUGAGGCGCGAAAGCGUGGGGAGCGAACAGG
rnacentral:rRNA from 1 species